AUUGAACGCUGGCGGCAGGCCUAACACAUGCAAGUCGAGCGAGCGGCGGACGGUUGAGUAAUGUAUGGGGACUGCCCGAUAGAGGGGUAUAACUACUGGAAACGGUAGCUACUACCGCAUCCUAUCGGAUAACCCAUAUUGGAUUAGCUCGUAGGUGAGGUAAUGGCUCACCUGGGCGACGAUCCCUAGCUGGUCUGAGAGGAUGAUCAGCCACACUGGGACUGAGACACGGCCCAGACUCCUACGGAGGCAGCAGUGGGGAAUAUUGCACAAUGGGCGCAAGCCUGAUGCAGCCAUCCCGCGUGUAUGAGGAAGGCCUUCGGGUGGUAAAGUACUGUUGGUAGAGAAGCGGUAUCUGCAGAAUAAGCACCGGCUAACUACGUGCCAGCCGCCGCGGUAAUUC
rnacentral:rRNA from 1 species